CCAAUAGCGUAUAUUAAAGUUGUUGCAGUUAAAAAGCUCGUAGUUGAAUUUCGGGGUUAGUAGGUUGGUCAUGCCUCUGGUAUGUACUGGUCUCACUGAUUCCUCCUUCCUGAUGAACCUUAAUGCCAUUAAUUUGGUGUUUUGGGGAAUUUGGACUGUUACUUUGAAAAAAUUAGAGUGUUUAAAGCAGGCAUUUUGCUUGAAUACAUUAGCAUGGAAUAAUAAAAUAGGACGGCAUGAUUCUAUUUUGUUGGUUUCUAGGAUCACCGUAAUGAUUAAUAGGGAUAGUUGGGGGCAUUAGUAUUCAAUUGUCAGAGGUGAAAUUCUUGGAUUUAUUGAAGACUAACUACUGCGAAAGCAUUUGCCAAGGAUGUUUUCAUUAAUCAAGAACGAAAGUUAGGGGAUCGAAGACGAUCAGAUACCGUCGUAGUCUUAACCAUAAACUAUGCCGACUAGGAAUCAGACGAUGUUAAUUUUUUAAUGACUCGUUUGGCACCUUACG
rnacentral:rRNA from 1 species